CUGCUGCUGCAUUUGCUGCAGCAGCAGCAGCCCUCGCUGUUGCAGCUGCUGCUGCAUUUGCUGCAGCAGCAGCAGCCCUUGCUGUUGCAGCUGCUGCUGCGGCUGCUGCAACCCUUGCACAGCUGCAGAACAGUCGCUGCUGCUGUUGCAGCUUUUGCUGCUGAUGCAACAGCAGCAGCCGCAGCAGCAGCGGCAGCAGCAGCAGCAACUGCUGCUGCAGCAGCAGCAGCAGCAGCCGCAGCAGCAGCAGCAGCUGUUGCUGCUUGGA
rnacentral:other from 1 species